CCUCGCACCUCUGUGGGCGGGAAACUUCCUACGCGUGCACUGGGGCGGUCGCUGCAUGCGGCCCUCUGGUUCUGUUUUAUUUAUAUACUUUGGUUUUUCGAGGUACGGUCUCGCACUAGCCCUGACCUGCAGUUCACUCUGUAGACUCAUGGCCAUCCUCCUACUUCUGCCUCCCAAGUGCUGGGAUCAAAGGCGUGUGCCACUAUGGCCCGCCAUGGUUCUGGUUUUGUCUGCUGACAUUAUUCACCUGGCCUAAAUGUCAUCAGGGUUUCUCCUCAGCCUUCCACAAAGAUGCUUGGAGAUGAUCAUUAAAGACAUGCAUUUAGCAGAUUCAAGAAUCUGGGCCAGCUGGAGAGAAGUCGUAGCAGUUAAGGCAUAUACCUGUGAAGCCUAAGGACCCAGGUUUGAUUUCCCAGGACCCACAUAAGCCGGAUGCACAAGACAUGGCAGCUCAGGCCUGUAAUCCCAGCACUCCAGAGGAUGAAACAGGGUUGCUUCGCACUUGAGACCAGACUGGACUACACAGUGAAUUCCAGACCAAUUCUUGGGCUACAUGGUAAGAUCCUGUUUCAAAACAAGAACAAUAAAGCACCUUACAGCUUCUCUUUGACAAAUCCACAUUGCCUGCUACUCUGGCACUUUGGGCUAUUAUUAAAUGAAAUAAGGGUUACUUGAACACAGACUCUGACCUCAUGGUAGCUGAGCUGACAGCUGACGUGGCUGUCAUAGUGAACAGGAAGCAAGUGCGGCAAAGGCAGAUACCCAGGACCCGGGAGCUGCCUACCUCCAGGGUGGGACAGUGUGGGAUGGCGCAAGACUUCAUCCGGCUACUCAUAGUGGCAUGCAAUUUAAAACUUACAAGUCACUUAUUUCUGGAAUUUUCCACUCAAUAUUUUUGGCACAUUGUUGACUGUGGGUAACUGAAUUGUGGGAAAGGGAAACAUUGGGUAAAGGUUGGAAAGGAAUUAUUGUGUUUAAAAAAUUGACUUCAUGUAAGGUGACAAAGAGGGCUGGCUUUGGGAAGAUGAUGCAGUUUGCUUUUGAUAACAAGACUAACCUUUAGGUAAGCCAAAUAAGAGAAUUGUUUCCAAUUUUUACUAAUAAACGUAUCCCUAAUCUGA